rnacentral:rRNA from 1 species
GAUGAACGCUGGCGGUGUGCCUAAUACAUGCAAGUCGAGCGAACAGACGAGGAGCUUACUCCUCUGACGUUAGCGGCGGACGGGUGAGUAACACGUGGAUAACCUACCUAUAAGACUGGGAUAACUUCGGGAAACCGGAGCUAAUACCGGAUAACAUGUUGAACCGCAUGGUUCAACAGUGAAAGACGGUCUUGCUGUCACUUAUAGAUGGAUCCGCGUCGCAUUAGCUAGUUGGUAAGGUAACGGCUUACCAAGGCAGCGAUGCGUAGCCGACCUGAGAGGGUGAUCGGCCACACUGGAACUGAGACACGGUCCAGACUCCUACGGGAGGCAGCAGUAGGGAAUCUUCCGCAAUGGGCGAAAGCCUGACGGAGCAACGCCGCGUGAGUGAAGAAGGUCUUCGGAUCGUAAAACUCUGUUAUUAGGGAAGAACAAAUGUGUAAGUAACUAUGCACGUCUUGACGGUACCUAAUCAGAAAGCCACGGCUAACUACGUG